GUGGGGAAUUUUGGACAAUGGGCGCAAGCCUGAUCCAGCAAUGCCGCGUGCAGGAAGAAGGCCUUCGGGUUGUAAACUGCUUUUGUACGGAACGAAACGGUCCGGGUUAAUACCCUGGGCUAAUGACGGUACCGUAAGAAUAAGCACCGGCUAACUACGUGCCAGCAGCCGCGGUAAUACGUAGGGUGCAAGCGUUAAUCGGAAUUACUGGGCGUAAAGCGUGCGCAGGCGGUUUUGUAAGACAGGCGUGAAAUCCCCGGGCUCAACCUGGGAAUUGCGAUUGUGACUGCAAGGCUGGAGUGCGGCAGAGGGGGAUGGAAUUCCGCGUGUAGCAGUGAAAUGCGUAGAUAUGCGGAGGAACACCGAUGGCGAAGGCAAUCCCCUGGGCCUACACUGACGCUCAUGCACGAAAGCGUGGGGAGCAAACAGGAUUAGAAACCCCAGUAGUCC
rnacentral:rRNA from 1 species